CCCUUAGAUGUUCUGGGCUGCACGCGCGCUACACUGAUGCGAUCAACAAGUUUGUCCUAUGUCGAUAGACACGGGUAAUCUUUUGAACUCGCAUCGUGAUGGGGAUAGAUUAUUGUAAUUAUUAAUCUUCAACGAGGAAUUCCUAGUAGGUGCAAAUCAUCAGUUUGCAUCGAUUACGUCCCUGCCCUUUGUACACACCGCCCGUCGCUGCUACCGAUUGGUUGAUCUGGUGAAUUAUUCGGACUGCCGGCUGAAGGGGUUUCCUCAUCUGCCAGCGGAAAGUCUUGUUAACCCUAUCAACUAGAGGAAGCAGAAGUCGUAACA
rnacentral:rRNA from 1 species